UACGGGGGGAGCAAGCGUUGUUCGGAUUUACUGGGCGUAAAGGGCGCGUGGGCGGCCACCGCAAGUCGACUGUGAAAUCUCCGGGCUUAACUCGGAAAGGUCAGCCGAUACUGCGGGGCUAGAGUGCAGAAGGGGCAACUGGAAUUCUCGGUGUAGCGGUGAAAUGCGUAGAUAUCGAGAGGAACACCUGCGGCGAAGGCGGGUUGCUGGGCUGACACUGACGCUGAUUGUGCGAAAGCUAGGGGAGCGAACGGG
rnacentral:rRNA from 1 species